AAGAUUUUAAGUUAAUAAAACUAAGAGUCUUCAAAACUCUAAAUGAAUUAUAUUCAAACCUUG
rnacentral:tRNA from 1 species